rnacentral:rRNA from 1 species
UGAGGAAUAUUGGUCAAUGGGCGAGAGCCUGAACCAGCCAAGUAGCGUGCAGGAUGACGGCCCUAUGGGUUGUAAACUGCUUUUGUUUGGGAAUAAUCGACAUUACGUGUAAUGUUUUGCAUGUACCAUUCGAAUAAGGACCGGCUAAUUCCGUGCCAGCAGCCGCGGUAAUACGGAAGGUCCAGGCGUUAUCCGGAUUUAUUGGGUUUAAAGGGAGUGUAGGCGGUUGGUUAAGCGUGUUGUGAAAUGUAGAUGCUCAACAUCUGACUUGCAGCGCGAACUGGCUGACUUGAGUACACACAACGUAGGCGGAAUUCAUGGUGUCGCGGUGAAAUGCUUAGAUAUCAUGACGAACUCCGAUUGCGAAGGCAGCUUACGGGAGUGUUACUGACGCUUAAGCUCGAAGGUGCGGGUAUCGAACAGG